rnacentral:lncRNA from 1 species
UGCGGAUUCUUUUAUGUAUGACCAAAAGGUACGAUAAAAUUCUACACUUAAACCAUCUAGUCCAGGGGAUUUAUUUAGUUUCAUAUUAAAUAUAGCAUUUGUACAUUCUUCUACUGUUAGGUUGCCCCCCAAUAGUUCACUCUCAGUAUUGGAUAGUGAGUGAUCUAUCUUUGUUUCACUUAUAUAAUUUUUUAUUUCAGAAGGAUCUGGUUCAGUACUUUUAUAUAAAUUUUGGUAAUAGUUUUUCCCAAGAAUAAGAAUAUCGGAUGCAUCUGUAACUAUGUUACCUUGAUUAUUUUUGAGGGCAGAAAUAGUUUUCUUAGUUUGUCUUGAUUUUUCAAGACCCAAAAAAUAUUUUGUGUUUUUUUCCCCUUCUUCUGCCCAUUUGACUCGGGAUCUGAUUUGUGCACCUCUAGUUUCUUUUAUAUAUAAAUUUUGUAAAUUGUUUUCUACAUUAUUUAUUUCUAUUUUAGAAUGUUCAGAAUUACUUGAUUUUUCGUAUAAGAAUUUUAACUUAUUUUCUAAAUGUUUAAUUUCAUUUUUACUUUCAGCAGCCUUUUGUUUGCAGUAUGUAAUGGUUGCCUCCCUUACUUCAGUUUUCAGAAUGUCCCAAGUAACUCGAGGAUCGUUAUUUUUGGUGAGUAUUAUUUCUUUAUGGGUGUCAAUUAAUUUAAUUAUUAUUUCUUUGUAUUUUGUAUCAUUCAGUAUACUGUUAUUUAUCUUAAAGAAUCCUUUGCCUUUAUUUUGAGCUUUAAGUCUUAUUUGUAAAGAGAUCGCUUGAUGAUCUGUAUGUGAUAUUAGUGCAGGUCUUAUGUCUGCUGAUAUUAUGUGAGGUCUUAUAUCUGGGCUUAUUAGAAAAAAAUCAAUUCUGCUUGCAACACUUCUAUUGUUUUUUCUUCUCCAUGUAAAUUGACUGCUGUUUUGAUUUAGUUCUCUCCAAAUAUCAAUAAGUUUAUAUUUUUUUUAUUAGUUGCUUUAAACUGUUAACAGGUUUAUUUUGAUUAUUAGGGCUAAUACUUUUUCUAUCAAAUGAAGUUAAACUUUCAUUCAUAUCACCCCCAUUAUUAAUAUUCCUAAGCGGUUAUUAUUAAUGAUAUUGUUUACUUUUUUGAAAAAUGAGUUUCUAUUUCGACGAAUGUUUGGAGCAUAUAUAUUCAGUAGUGUAAAGAUAUUACCAUCAAGUUCUAUAUUAAUGAGUAUUAUUCUUCCAUCAUUAUCUCUAGUUUCAUUAAUAAUUUUAUGUUUUAUGUUUUCUUUUAUAAGAAUUGUUACGCCUCUUGAUUGUGAAUUUCCGAAACUAUGGUAAAGUUUCCCUUUUAUCUCAUUGUUUAUAACAUUUUCAUGUUUUUCAAUAAAAU